rnacentral:lncRNA from 1 species
GAGGCAUUUUAUACAGAACUGGCACGUGUUCCGGUGACUGUGGCACACAUUUUUAGCAACUGAACAGUGAUUUUCCUUCCUGUUUGGGAGGAUGGUCAUUUUCAAACGUCUGUAAUUUUCAACUUGAAAAAUUAAUAUUGCACAAUGAGUUUUGCCUCAGGAACCCUUUGAAGCUGGAUUCUGAAGUUCGUCUCCCAUUACCCCCAGUAUGGGAACUCCUCAAACUUGAAGCAGCAGCUGUGAAGGCAUCUGAGACAAACAAUGUGCCUAUGCCAUGGAUUUGAAUAUUAAAGGGUUCCUUCUGUAUUGGAAUAGUAACUGGAAGAACAACCAAAUUCCUAUCGAAUGUGGACACACAGAGAGAAACAGCCAUAUCUCUCUGUGCAUGCCUGGGUAGCAGCCUUGCGGUGCUGUGCUGCCAGCUCACAUCUGGAGUAGUUCAUCACUGCCGAACAGAUGUUGCAGAGCGAGGUUCCAGCGGGAUUAUUGCUGAAAGCAGUAGUGGAUCAGCUAUGCCCUUGUGAAUCAUGGUGAAUCAUGGUUGCCACAACGGAGCACAUAGCAACGGAUGCCCUGCACAGAGCACUUCUCCCUUUAACACUCCUGAGAGCCCCAGUGGCGCCUGUGUGUCCCAAAUGGCAGAGCCUUCAUCCAGAGGCUGAUGAAGGCUAAACACUGAACUGAACUCCUGGUAUCCAGUUGCAGAGAGGGAGGAGUGAUGAGCAAAGGAGCCAAGACCAGGCUGGUGAAACCCACAGAAACAGCUGACCUGAACAAGGGGGAGCUCAAGGACACCAGACUGAUGGCUGAGAGGACAGCAUGGGACUGAUCCAGACCCCCUGAAUGUGGGUGUCAGUGAGGAGGCCUUGGCAAUUUAUGGGGUCUUGGGUAGUAGAUCAGUAUUUAUCCCUGGCACAUGAAUGGACUUUGGAAGCCCAUUCCACAUGGAGGGAUGCUCUUUCAGUCUGGACACAUGGGUGAGGACCUAGGCCCUUCCUGGGAUGAUAAGACAAGCUUUAGAGAUCCCCCACGGAGGGUCUUACCCUCCCUGGGGAACGUAGGGGAAUGGGGUGGAGGCUUGGCGAGGGGUGGGGGAAGAGGGCAGGGAGAGGCAGCUGGAUUGACAUG